AUUCGGAGCUCCCGGAGGGAUGCACCGCUCUGUGCCAAGCCCGGAGAAGCUGCCUGGAGAUGGAGCGAGCCCUCGCUGCACGAACAAGCUCCAGUUGGCGGGAGGAAAUAGGGGGGCGGACUAAACUCUUUUGCUUCUGAGCCUUCUCCUGGGGGGAGUCGGCACUGCCCUGCCGGGAGCGGGCCGAUGGGAAGGCGGCGGUGCGGGAGCGGGCGCGGGUGCGGGUGAAGCUGUGCUGACUGCGGGCAAGGCGCUCCCGGCCACCCCUAUAUACGCCCCGCUCAUUGCGGCUUGAGCUUUUCCACUCGGCUGCCCCAAAAAGAGUAGGGGGGGGAGGGGACAACGCUUGCAAAAACCCCCAAGUUUCAUGGCAACAGCAAAGUUCCUUCCGUGUGAAAGAAAACUUUGGUAGACGGCGUGUGAGUGGCGCGGACUCACUGGAGCUGUCAAUCACGGGCUUCCCUUUCCGUCUUUCCCCUCCUCUUCCCCUUCCAUCUUUCCUCCCUUCCUUUUUACUUUUCCCCGAGGCACGGACACCUGCACGGGCAGGGCCGGCAGCUCCUUGAAAGCACGGCGGGUACAGAGCUGCCUCGCCCCGCCGCUGUGGGACCGACGGCAGGCGGGACGCGCUGCCCUGUCCCGGUCCCUUCUCGUCGCCUCUCCGCGCCCUGCUCCAACUCCGGACAAAAUCAUCUGUUGAACAAAGUCGAAGGGGAAAUAGAUCCCACUUGCGACGAGCUACGGUGUUGUCAGCGUUUUGUCUUUGUUGUAGUUUGGUUUGCUGCUGGUGUGUUCUGGGGUGGUCAAACUUUUGCAGCCCGAGAGAAGAGGGUGACAGGGAAAGUUUCAGGCAGUAUCACUCUAGGAAGCACGCUUCGGGCGGAACUUUUAACUUUUGCAACAUGUUGGAAAAGCUCUAGACAAGCUGUAAUUAACCUCAAACCCCUUCAAAUAUUUUGACCCCUUCAGCCGAUGUUUAAGACGUGCCAAGCUGGGCUGAAUAGCGGACUGUCCCUGAAAUUACUUUAUACAAACGUUUGUUGGAGGGACUGAAACAUGCUUCCAUGCAACGAAAAAUGAGGCGAAAUACGGAAUGUCAGGUCAUGCUGAAAGCCCCAUGAGCUGUGUUUCCUUCGAUGUUUAAAUAAAUAUUACAAC
rnacentral:lncRNA from 1 species